GGGACAAAAAAACAGCUAAAAAGGCAAAUAUAGAUGUGAGUGCUGAAGUAAAUCUUGUUGUUAUUCCUAAAAAAAAAAAAAAGAGUCAUCCAAUAAAUGAUGAAGAUGAUGGUAAGUCAUCUAAAGAAAAGGAAAGUAUUGGUGUGAAUAAUGAGGAAUAUCCUCUUGAUCCUCCCAAAAAAUAGAAAAAAGGAAUCGAUCAAAUGAUAGAGAAGAUGAUGCUCAAUCAUUCAAAAAGAAAAGUAACAUGGUUUUUGUUUAUUCGAAGAGAAAAGUACCCAAAUUAUCUAAUUUUGAGGUAGGUUGAGUAACAUUACGCCGACGGUUCUUGAAAAAUCAAUACUUCAAUUACCUGAUUUCAAAUCUGUGGAUGCGGUUGUGAACUCUGGUGAUUUGACUGGUACCAGUAAACAAGAAUGUAGUCAUUUGAGCUCUGAUAAUGAAUUAACACUUCUGAGAAGUGAUGUUAAAAUAGUAUGUGGAAGAAUUUUAUUAAUAUUUGUAUGUUUUUGUUAAUUGAUGUUUUGACUUUUUUCUUUUUAUGUUUAGUUAACGAAAAAAGUUUCCUCGAUGGAGAAGUUUAUGAAAUCCUCAUUUGAAUUGAU